GGUUAUGCUAAUAAGAGCGUAUGGUGGAUGCCUUGGCACUAAGAGCCGAUGAAAGACGUGAUAAGCUGCGAAAAGCUUCGGGGAGGAGCAAAUAUCCAUUGAUCCGGAGAUUUCUGAAUAGGGAAACCUACUUGAGAAAACCUCAAGUAUCCACAGCCCAAUCCAUAAGCUGUGGAAGGGAACCCGGUGAACUGAAACAUCUAAGUAGCCGGAGGAAGAGAAAACAACAUGUGAUUCCGUAAGUAGCGGCGAGCGAACGCGGAAGAGCCCAAACCGGAGUGCGUGCACUCCGGGGUUCGGACUGCAGAAUUGACGAGUGAGCCUAGUAGAAUGGUUUUGGGAAAGCCAGCCAGAGAGGGUGAAAGCCCCGUACACGAAAGGCAAGCAAGCAUGGCAGGAUCCAGAGUACCACGAGACACGUGAAACCUUGUGGGAACGCGCGGGGACCACCCCGUAAGGCUAAAUACUCCUUAGUGACCGAUAGCGCAUAGUACUGUGAAGGAAAGGUGAAAAGGACCCCGGGAGGGGAGUGAAAGAGAACCUGAAACCAUAUGUUUACAAGCUGUGGAACAUCUUUAUAUGAUGAACCGCGUACUUUUUGUAGAACGGUCCGGCGAGUUACGCUGGCUGGCGAGGUUAAGGGCUGAAGGCCUGGAGCCGAAGGGAAACCGAGUCUGAACAGGGCGAAAUAGUCAGUCGGAGUAGACCCGAAACCGGGUGAUCUAUCCAUGUCCAGGUUGAAGUUGCCGUAAAAGGCAAUGGAGGACCGAACCCACAUCCGUUGAAAAGGGUGGGGAUGAGGUGUGGAUAGGGGAGAAAUUCCAAUCGAACCCGGAGAUAGCUGGUUCUCCUCGAAAUAGCUUUAGGGCUAGCCUCAUGCAAGUCUUACGGAGGUAGAGCACUGAAUUCCUAAGGGGGCGUCAAAGCUUACCAAGGGAUAUCAAACUCCGAAUGCCGUGUAGAUGGUGCAUGGGAGUCAGACUAUCCGAGAUAAGUUGGGUAGUCAAAAGGGAAAGAGCCCAGACCUACAGCUAAGGUCCCAAAAUGUGUGUUAAGUGGAAAAGGAUGUGGGAUUUCGAAGACAACUAGGAUGUUGGCUUAGAAGCAGCCAUCCAUUAAAAGAGUGCGUAAUAGCUCACUAGUCGAGAGGUCCUGCGCCGAAAAUGUCCGGGGCUGAAACACACUACCGAAGCUUAGGAAUUGAUGAAUGUCAAUUGGUAGAGGAGCAUUCUUACCGAGACGAAGCUGUACCGGAAGGAGCAGUGGAUUGGUAAGAAGAGAGAAUGCCGGAAUGAGUAGCGAGAGGAAGGUGAGAAUCCUUCCGGCCGAAUAUCUAAGGUUUCCAGAGUAAAGCUGAUCUGCUCUGGGUAAGUCGGGGCCUAAGGCGAGGUCGAAAGACGUAGUCGAUGGAUAACAGGUAAAGAUUCCUGUACUAUAUCAUAACAGAACUGUGGGGACGCAGACAGAGAGCAUAAGCCGGGAAUGGAAAGACCGGUACAAGCGAGGUAGGAGUGCAUCAGGCAAAUCCGGUGCACAAUCUGAAGACGUGAUGUGGGGCGUAAAGCCAUAAGUAUGUGAGCUGGCUGCCAAGAAAAGCCGCUAUUGUUUAUGAUAUACCCGUACCGUAAACCGACACAGGUGGAUGAGGAGAGAAUCCUAAGGCCGACGGGAGAAGCAUUGUUAAGGAACUCGGCAAAAUGACUCCGUAACUUCGGGAGAAGGAGUGCCAUGUAAAAGUGGCCGCAGAGAAUUGGCCCAAGCAACUGUUUAGCAAAAACACAGGUCUAUGCAAAACCGAAAGGUGAGGUAUAUGGGCUGACGCCUGCCCGGUGCUGGAAGGUUAAGGGGAGAGGUUAGUCGUAAGGCGAAGCUUUGAACUUAAGCCCCAGUAAACGGCGGCCGUAACUAUAACGGUCCUAAGGUAGCGAAAUUCCUUGUCGGGUAAGUUCCGACCCGCACGAAAGGCGUAAUGAUUUGGGCACUGUCUCAACAAUGCACCCGGUGAAAUUGAAAUACCAGUGAAGAUGCUGGUUACCUGCGCCAGGACGGAAAGACCCCAUGGAGCUUUACUCCAGCUUGAUACUGGGAUUCGAUAUUGCAUGUACAGGAUAGGUGGGAGACU
rnacentral:rRNA from 1 species